GCUCCAAUAGCGUAUAUUAAUGUUGUUGCAGUUAAAAAGCUCGUAGUUGAAUUUCUGGUUAAAAUCUUAGCUGGCUUUGGUCGUUAAUGUUAAUCAUCCGUUAGAGAACUAUAACCGUCCUUAACUGGUCAUUAUAGAGAUCUAACAUUUUACUUUGAAAAAAUUUAGAGUGUUCAAGGCAGGCAAUCGUCAUGAAUACU
rnacentral:rRNA from 1 species